GGACUCCAGCAAGUCCUUCAAAAGCUGCAGAGCUGUCGAUUGACAGAAUUGAAGUACAUCUUAGAAUCAGAGUUUUUCAGCUGAAAAGGACCUUAAAUAUCGAGUCCAUCCCUCAUUUCACAGCUAACACCCGGCCUAAGAAGCAGAGUGUUGCCCGAUCAAAGUUUCUGCACCUUUCAUAAUUAGCCUCAGGACUGCAGUGCCAGUUUAUCCUGCUUUGGACAGUGUAUACUCCAGAAGUGAUUAAAAUUACAUCAGGUUUACAGGACUUCUCAAGUUGAUAGCCCAGGCUAGUGUAGAAGUAGCAAUGGAUCUUAGGUCGGGCUCUCACUCGCAGGAACUAAGAGUGUAUGCCCCCUGGUCUGGCCACGUGUCUCGGCCUUAGGUUUAGGCAUCAUUCUUGAAGCAACCUAGAUAUAGGUACAUAGCCACUGCCUGACUUGGGGGUGGGAUGAGUAGGUGUGAAAUAGUCAAGAUGGCUGGGAUUCAGUUAGGGAGCAAUGAGACAUCCUGGGUGGUCAGCAAGAAGACCCCCACCUACCCCACCACACACUAGACUGUCAUGCCCAGUACUAUAAUAAGCUGUAAGGAGUUUCCAGUCAGGUUUAGUUUUGUGUGCUAACCUUUGCCGGCAGUUUUAAUAACUGAAUUCCCUAAAAGGGUAGUAUUGUCUUGUUAUAAAUAUGUUUUAAGUCGGCAGAAGUGAGUGAGCCAGAGAGGUAUACCUGACUGUGGUGACAAGAGUAGUUGGCAAAGGAAUGUGAGUCUCAAUCACUUAUCUUCCAAGCCUAGUCAGUGCUCUUUCGCAUUACAUCUUGCUCCCCAGGAAGGGGGUGAGAGAAUCGCCUGUGGCUGAUUUAUUGGCGCCUGUGGUUGCUCAGAGAGGCCAGGCAGGACUUUCAGCUGCCCUCUAUGCCUUACAAAGUGGAGCUAUGUACUUCCACCCGAUCUCCUGAGGGGAAUGCAAAGGAGCCAGGCUGUCUAGCUGAGGAGGAGGGGCCUGAGCGGCUUGGCAGUAAAAUCUCCUAGCACGCUGGGAAGUGCAGCAUAGUGCCUAACCUACCGCUGACCCAAAGUGAUUUAUUCCCUGCAAGCUGCUGGUGGUAUCUGACCAAUUUGUCCAUUUUUGAAGUAAGAGCUAGGAAAGAGUUGGCGAACUGUCAGAGUUCCUAUAGAAAAGCAGUGCAGGUGCUCUUAUUUUGAUGAAUUGUAAAGUAGCCCUACACCACUUCCUGUGCCCCCUUUCUGCUUGUUUAUCCCACAGAGCAAGUGCAUCUGAGUCCUUAGAGAAAGCC
rnacentral:lncRNA from 1 species